AGGGUGUAAGGGGUGCAGAAUGAGGUGACCUUGGGCAAGUGGGGCCUCCGGGGUCCCUGGCUCCUGUCUCGGGUCCCCUUAAGCUACGGGACGUGGACUCAGUGCUCUGAGGCCAGGGACAGAGUGGGGCUUUCAGCCGACACUUGCCAAAUGUCCCCUGGGGGACCCGGCAUCUGCCAAGGACGGGGGAGCUGGGAUGGCCCUGCCCUUCUAGGAGCCAUGUAGAUGCUUCAGGGGCAGAGGGCCUAUGAGCAGACACACUGCUAGGGACACACUGCUCCAGGCUGGAGGCCACUUGAUGGAGUGGAGGGGACUUCCAGGUCUGGCCCAGCAACUCCAUCAUUGCCAGACAGACGGGCACAAGGCCAAGCACAGGUGCAUCACCGCUCACCCGGAGGCCUGGUGGAGGCGACCACUGACCACAGCAUCCACAUCCCUCUGCUAUGACUGGCGACCCCGAGGCCAGGCCCUCCACCCUGGACCAGAGCUACUGGUGGACAAGUCAGACCCUUGACUCCCCGAGGGCAGGAGCUGGGCUGACCGACCUCAGAGCUCCACACUGCCCAGCCCAGUCCCUGACCUGGAAGGGGAGCUCCUGGCUCGUGUGCACAGGGACGGUACCACCUCUGCAUCUGGCAGAGGGAUUCCCAGGAAAGAAGUCUGAGUCAUCCUUGAGAGAAAACAAAUGCCAACGGAAGCUGCAGCGAGACCAGUGGGGCCUCUUCCAUUCCUUCUAGAACGUUCCAUGAGAGGCUAAGCAAAACGCCAGCUCACCUUGCCGAGACUUUAAUCUGGCAACUCUAAAAGCACAUGGCUGGCCUGCAGAUGCAUCCAGACCAGAACCUCCAGGAAACAGGCUGAGGUCCACGGGGCGCCUGUCCACGCCGUCCCCUCUUCCACAGCCCUCCUUGGGCUCCCCCUAAAGUCUGUACCGGCUAUCCUGGGGGAGGUGGCCCGUGGAGGGCCAGCCAAGUAGCAGCCGGUGCCCGGUCUUGGAGUGUGGCAGGACGCUGGGACAAGGGUGAGCUGCCCUUGGGACCGCCACAGGCUGCUGCGGCACACUUUGUUCAGACGUAAUAACAGCUAUUAGGCUGCAUAAUUGACCCAAAGAGGGAAGUCAUUGCAGCAAGAAACAAAGGGUGCUCAGUGCCGCCUGGCCGCCGACCAGCUGGCCCAUGGGGCGCCCAGUGCCUCUUACGUGGGCAGCCACUUCCCUGGUCGCCGGGGGAGGGGUGCUCCCAGGCCUUCCCUGCCCCGUGGCCUGCAGCGCGUGGAUGGUGUGCAUGCACCCCCAGACCAGGCACAGCGGCCGGGCCUGGGGCGAGUCACUGUGGAGUCCCCACGGAGUCCCUGAUGGCGGUGGGCUCGUCCCUCGUUUCCUCAGCUCGGCCCACAGGUCCUGCCACAGCCUGUCACCCUUCGCUUGGUGCCCGGCCCCCUGCCAGAAGGAUGGGAAAUGCGGGCAGGUGUGCAUCGUAAGUGCCAAGAGCGAAAGCAGGGAGCACCGCACACUGUGUCUCAGGGAGGCCAGAGUAACAAAGGGGAACUCGACACAAAGAUGAAAAUAAACCAGUGCAGGAGGUCCUGCCCGCGGAGAGCUACACCUGCAGCACCCCGAGGCCGCCCAGCCCCAGGCCACAGGCCGGCGGCCCCGAGUCACCCAGUGAGGCUGGCUCGGCUCUCAUCCCCCCCUCUCGGCUGGCUUCUUGCCUCCCAACGACAUCUGAGCCGUCCUCUUGCAGCACACGACUCACAGGAUUUACUAGGUCUUAUAAACAAUUCCUGGCCCAGCUCUGAAGGGCAGGUGCCCCAGGCAUCUCCCCGGGGAUGCUGGAGUCCUCCAUCAGCAGGACACUGGGGCGCCUCUGCGGCCUUGCGUUCCCAGGAGGGCCGAGGGGCGUGGCACGCUCUGGGGUCACAGUGAGGCGCACCCCAUCAGAAGCACUUCCAAUGAGAAGUGCUUUGCUCACCGAGGAGCGAAGGGUGUGAGGCCCGGGGACACCAGGAGCUUCUGGAGCAGUGUGAGGCCACCAGGCCCAGCCGGCCCGCUGCACAGCCAGCUGUCCUUCCAGUGGGGAGAGUCCAUCAGGGCCACAGGAGUGGCCUUUUCACAUUUCAACAAAACAAAUAUGGACGCAAAUACUCAUUUUGGUCCCCCUCUGGCUGAUGAUGACACGGCAGCUUUGGGAGGCAUGUGAAGAAAUGCUCGGUGCCCUGGAUGAUAAGACACGGACAUGCACAGAGCAGCUUCCCAGAGCCCCAACCCCCCGAAAAGCAGACCCCGUAUGGUCAGAAGGCACAGAUAGGAAAGGCAGGCCAGGGUGAGCCUUCUUGGGGGUGUCAGACUAACGGCCACACAGCACAACCCCCAGAGGGCAGGGGUCCUUUUGAGGAAGGGCAGCUGCCAGUCCCACGCAUCCUAGAAGAUCAGCAUCGCCCCCAUUCCAGGUGGGGAGACGGAGCCAGCCGUUCCUGGGCUGGGCCACUGUACUGCCCUUCACACCUCCGCUGGUCAAUGUCUGCAGUGACCCCACGACAGGUGUCUGAGUGGGCUUCUCAGAUGGAAGAGGAGCAGGGAGAGGCUGGGACUGGGAUCCGUUGCUGGGUGGGCCCCAGGCAGGCGCGGGGAGUGGAGGUGCUCGUGCCAGAGAUCUGCCUUCCAGCAGGUGCUCCCAGGGGCCCAGAUGGAGCAGACCACCAGCUACAGAGGUCUCCGGCCCUGCCCAGCCGCCCUGCAGAGCUGCCCCUGCUCUCUGCAGCUCUGCUAGGGCAGUGAGGUCUUGCUGAGGCCAGGGCUUGUCAGCCAGGCCUCGCAGGCUCUGGAAUCUGCUCUUGGCACCAGAUGCUGGUCCAGGGCAAAUAAGACAGGCUCCCCGAGAGCCCGGAGAGCUCAAGUUCUCCUUCACUAAUUGCUAACCUGUGCAAGAGUGAGCACGAGAAUGAAAGCCACCAACCUGCAGCUGGGAACAGAACAUACUGUUCACCGGCUGUCCAUCCAUCAUCUUACCUCGUAUUCCAGAAGGCGCAAUGUUCCCAUAAUAUAAUCGUUUAGUGGAAA